rnacentral:rRNA from 1 species
CAAGGAUUCCCCUAGUAACUGCGAGUGAAGCGGGAAAAGCUCAAAUUUAAAAUCUGGUGGUCUUUGGCCAUCCGAGUUGUAGUCUGGAGAAGCGUCUUCCGCGUUGGACCGUGUAAAAGUUUCUUGGAAUAGAACAUCAUAGAGGGUGAGAAUCCCGUCUUUGACACGGACUACCAGUGCUUUGUGAUGCGCUCUCAAAGAGUCGUGUUGUUUGGGAAUGCAGCACAAAAUGGGUGGUAUAUUCCAUCUAAAGCUAAAUAUUGGCGAGAGACCGAUAGCGAACAAGUACCGUGAGGGAAAGAUGAAAAGCACUUUGGAAAGAGAGUUAAACAGUACGUGAAAUUGUUGAAAGGGAAACGCUUGAAGUCAGUCGCGUUGGCCGGGACUCAGCCUUGCUCUUUUGCUUGGUGUAUUUCCUGGUCGACGGGCCAGCAUCGAUUUUGACCGUUGGAUAAAGUUCAGAGGAAUGUGGCACCUCUCGGGGUGUGUUAUAGCCUUUGUUCGCAUGCAACGGUUUGGGAUCGAGGAUCGCAGCACGCCUUUAUGGCCGGGGUUCGCCCACGUACGUGCUUAGGAUGCUGGCGUAAUGGCUUUAAACGACCCGUCUUGAAACACGGACCAAGGAGUCUAACAUGCCUGCGAGUGUUUGGGUGCAAAACCCAUGCGCGUAAUGAAAGUGAAAGUUGAGACCUCUGUCAUGGAGGGCAUCGACGCCCGGUCUUGAGCUUUGGCGACGGAUCCGAGGUUGAGCAUGUAUGUUGGGACCCGAAAGAUGGUGAACUAUGCCUGAAUAGGGUGAAGCCAGAGGAAACUCUGGUGGAGGCUCGUAGCGAUUCUGACGUGCAAAUCGAUCGUCAAAUUUGGGUAUA